GACGAACGCUGGCGGCGUGCUUAACACAUGCAAGUCGAACGGAAAGGCCCUGCUUUUGUGGGGUGCUCGAGUGGCGAACGGGGGAGUAACACGUGAGUAACCUGCCCCUGACUUUGGGAUAACUUCAGGAAACUGGGGCUAAUACCGGAUAGGAGCUCCUGCUGCAUGGUGGGGGCUGGAAAGUUUCGGCGGUUGGGGAUGGACUCGCGGCUUAUGAGCUUGUUGGUUGGGUAGUGGAUUAGCAAGGCUUUGACGGGUAGCCGGCCUGGUAGGGUAACCGGCCCCGUUGGGCCUGGGCUACGGCCCAGCCUCCUACGGGAGGCAGCGGUGCGGAAUAUUGCACUAUGGGCGGAAGCCUGAUGCGGCCACGCCGCGUGCGGGAUGACGGCCUUCGGGUUGUAUACCGCUUUCGCCUGUGCCGAAGCGUGAGUGACGGUAAUGGGUAAAGAAGCACCGGCUAACUACGUG
rnacentral:rRNA from 1 species